GCAUAUCAAUAAGCGGAGGAAAAGAAACCAACAGGGAUUGCCUCAGUAACGGCGAGUGAAGCGGCAACAGCUCAGAUUUGGAAUCUGGUCCCUCGGGGCCCGAGUUGUAAUCUGGAGAGGAUGCUUCUGGCGCGGCGCCGUCCGAGUUCCCUGGAACGGGACGCCGGAGAGGGUGAGAGCCCCGUACGGUCGGACGCCUAGCCUGUGUGAAGCUCCUUCGACGAGUCGAGUAGUUUGGGAAUGCUGCUCAAAAUGGGAGGUAAAUUUCUUCUAAAGCUAAAUACCGGCCAGAGACCGAUAGCGCACAAGUAGAGUGAUCGAAAGAUGAAAAGCACUUUGAAAAGAGGGUCAAACAGUACGUGAAAUUGUUGAAAGGGAAGCGCCCGUGGCCAGACUUGUGCCCGGCAGACCAUCCGGCGCCCCCGCGCCGGUGCACUCUGCCGGGCGCAGGCCAGCAUCGGUUUUCCCAGGGGGAUAAAGGCGGCGGGAACGUGGCUCCCUCGGGAGCGUUAUAGCCCGCCGCGUCAUGCCUCUGGGGGGACCGAGGACCGCGCAUUUAUGCAAGGAUGCUGGCGUAAUGGCCACCGGCGACCCGUCUUGAAACACGGACCAAGGAGUCAAGCAUUGGGGCGAGUGUCUGGGUGUUAAACCCGCACGCGAAAUGAAAGUGAACGCAGGUGAGAGCUUCGGCGCAUCAUCGACCGAUCCUGAUGUUUUCGGAUGGAUUUGAGUAAGAGCCUUAACGCUUGGACCCGAAAGAUGGUGAACUAUGCCUGUAUAGGGUGAAGCCAGAGGAAACUCUGGUGGAGGCUCGCAGCGGUUCUGACGUGCAAAUCGAUCGUCAAAUAUGGGCAUGGGGGGCGAAAGACUAAUCGAACCAUCUAGUAGCUGGUUACCGCCGAAGU
rnacentral:rRNA from 1 species